ACAAUGGUGACACUCAUUAACAUUGGUCAAUUAUUCCUUUCUUGUUUUAAGGACUCAAGCCAUCUUCCAAUACGCAGCCUGACGCUGAGAACGAGCCACAGCCUGCUACCCGAGUGCACAGGCUUUGCGGGUCACGGUCUUCAUUAGCCUGCGUUCCAAGACUGUCCUGCUCGGGCAAAGGAUUUGAAUGUUCAUCACUUCUCAGAGGACCUGUCAACUCCAGUGAAAGCACCGGCAGACAGCUUGUGCCCUAAGAUUCUUUUGACUCUGGUCUGUCAAAAUCCUCGCUUUGCUGUUGCCACCAAUCCUGAAUGGAAAGAUUCUCUUGACGACCGAACUUCCGAUUCUCAGGGGAUCCUGGCCUGCUUUCCGUGCUCGGAGACACCACCAGAACUCUGCCAAAGGGAUCAUUUCCUUUCCUGCGGUAACAGCGAACUCAGCAUUGUCUGAGCACCAGCAGGUAAGACAGAAUCAUCUGUGGGGCUCCCUUCUUGGCCACCCCAGGAGGGAACGUUGAUAUGAUGCCCAGAUGCUCACUGGAUUCAUAGUCAGGUGACACCACUACCCCAUACGUCAAGGUCAAGAUUUGUGCGUGCCUUUCAAGGUCCGUGCGGCCCCGUGAGAAGUCUGGCUACCCUGAAGCCACCAUGCUGAGAGAUCUCGGGGAGAGAACACCUCAAGAGAUGGUCCAGUGACUCCAGCUUUUCCAAAGCCCCAGCUGGUCAAGUCCAUGCACCAGACACAUGAGUGAGGAAGCCUUCCAGAUGACUCCGGCUCAGCCUUACUGUCACAUGACUGUGACGUAUGUCCACCCCCACCUCCCACGCAAAACCUGCCCAGAUGAGCCCAGUCACCCCGCAGAACUGGUAGGGAUAAUAAUACACCAUUGCUGCUGCUUUAAGCACAAUCUUGUGGCCGACUGCUACGCAGUGACAGGUAGCCAGGACAUGUUGCACCUGCUGUGAAAUAGGAUGAUCCGACAUCUUCACCCCUUGAAGAAGAGCUCUAGUAUUUUCCUAUUCCCCAUUUUCUCCUCUCACAUCUGUCUGCCUUACAGAGAACAGUUGAGUCUGUAGCCUUGGAUUUUCUGAAUAAAUUCCUUCCAUGCCUUCACUUGCUCCAAAGGAGAAGAUUCCAGCUGGGCUUCACAUCGGACUUUUCUUGAGAUGGCAGCGUAUUUCAAGAGGGGAUGUGAAUGUGGGUUAGAGACUGGCUUACUUUUCAGGCUGUAAACUUUCUUGAAAGAUAGAUUUCAUCUCUUUGA